rnacentral:rRNA from 1 species
UACGGAGGGUGCGAGCGUUGUCCGGAUUUAUUGGGUUUAAAGGGUGCGUAGGCUGGAAGGUCAGUCAGCGGUGAAAAACUAUCGCUCAACGAUAGUCGUGCCGCAGAUACUUCCUUUCUUGGAUUAGGAGGAGGUCACCGGAAUAGAUGGUGUAGCGGUGAAAUGCAUAGAUAUCAUCUAGAACGCCAAUUGCGAAGGCAGGUGACUGUACCUAUAUCGACGCUGAUGCACGAAAGCAUGGGGAGCGAAC